rnacentral:rRNA from 1 species
GGUUUCCUACGGGACGCAGCAGUGAGGAAUAUUGGUCAAUGGGCGAGAGCCUGAACCAGCCACGUCGCGUGAGGGAAGACGGUCCUAUGGAUUGUAAACCUCUUUUGCCGGGGAGCAAAAAGCGGUACGUGUACCGCAUCGAGAGUACCCGGAGAGAAAGCAUCGGCUAACUCCGUGCCAGCAGCCGCGGUAAUACGGAGGAUGCGAGCGUUAUCCGGAUUUAUUGGGUUUAAAGGGUGCGCAGGCG